AAGCUUUCUCGCCAAAAACUUUGUGGAGCAAUGGAGUGGCACUAUCUCGCUUACGUGGGGCUUUCAUUUGGCGACAUCGGCCGAACAAAUCGGAGCGUUUUUUCGCAACGUGUUCACAAGAUAUCAAAAGUCAUUGAGAAUUAAUAAAAUAUGAAAAGUCAAGAAAAGAAAAGUAUAUCCCAGUGCCCAGUGCCAGAGAUUCCGUUCUCUUAUAAAAGAAUCGCAUUUCAUGGAUAUAUAUACAUAUAUCCUAAACAAUCCCUAUGGGAUGAUAUUGUGCCCUAUUGCGAUCGCCUUACAUAAGUUGCCCAUACCCCAACCAAUAUACAUAAGUAUAUACUAUGUGACUCAUAUUUCCCUGCCCCCCAAACGGUUCUCCAGUUUCUGAGAAACUGGAAAUGCUAUAAACAAGAUCCAAAGAUCUGAUGCCUCAGUCGUUGAGCUGCGUUGUGAUAAAGUUGAUGCAAAAAUGAAAACUCAAGUGUAUACUCAUUUUUUGUUUUCGUGUUCAAGUCCCAAGAGGUCCCAUGAAAUUUACAAACAUACAUAGUUGCCGAACUAUGUUUACUCCCAUUUUAUGAAUAAGUGCUCCCCUGAUAUGGGUUUCUCAAGAAAUCUCACCAAAACACCCUGCUGCCAUAUUAAAAUUCUGUGAAUGAUAAUGAAAUUGAAGAAUAAAUAAAUAUAUUUCGUAUUGUUUUCAAACAAAAAGUUCCAAAUAUUGCCUAUAAUGUGAAGUCCCAUUUUGCGUAUGAGAAGUGUGAUGUUUUGAAU
ensembl:ncRNA lncRNA:CR45517 long non-coding RNA:CR45517